rnacentral:rRNA from 1 species
CGCCCGACCUCCAACCCUUUGUUGUUAAAACUACCUUGUUGCUUUGGCGGGACCGCUCGGUCUCGAGCCGCUGGGGAUUCGUCCCAGGCGAGCGCCCGCCAGAGUUAAACCAAACUCUUGUUAUUAAACCGGUCGUCUGAGUUAAAAUUUUGAAUAAAUCAAAACUUUCAACAACGGAUCUCUUGGUUCUCGCAUCGAUGAAGAACGCAGCGAAAUGCGAUAAGUAAUGUGAAUUGCAGAAUUCAGUGAAUCAUCGAAUCUUUGAACGCACAUUGCGCCCCUUGGUAUUCCGAGGGGCAUGCCUGUUCGAGCGUCAUUACACCACUCAAGCUAUGCUUGGUAUUGGGUGCCGUCCUUAGUUGGGCGCGCCUUAAAGACCUCGGCGAGGCCUCACCGGCUUUAGGCGUAGUAGAAUUUAUUCGAACGUCUGUCAAAGGAGAGGACUUCUGCCGACUGAAACCUUUAUUUUUCUAGGUUGACCUCGGAUCAGGUAGGGAUACCCGCUGAACUUAAGCAUAUCAAUAGCGCGGGAGGAAAAGG